GGAGAAAUUCAAUAUUGCCGNUUNAAAAGCAAUGUGCACUUUUCUCUUAGUAAGACGCUGUGAUCCAUUAGAAAUUNGAUCAUUCCAAUGAUUAAUGGGCUAUCAAUAGGUCGAUGUGAAGUUCAUUGGNUACAAAUAAUUGNAAUCUUUANAUGGUUUUAUAUAUUGUCCAGUCGAGCAUAUUGAUACCUGUANNAUAGCUGUCUGAUGGAUUUUAAAGGUCAUAUUAUUAAUGNNUCUUGUGCAUUACCCAUUUCGAUGGGNAAUNGGAUANUGUACCCGAUCAACAGCGGUUAAAUUUGGGAUACCUUUUGGACCCGUCUUGAAACACGGACCAAGGAGUCUAUCUAGUAUGCAAGUAAAUGGGCAUAUNNGAAACCUAUUUGCAUAAAAAACUUGACUGNUUUAUGGGAUUACGAGUUCAUUNNNNAUCAAAAUGNNGCUCCUCCAUCCCGGGGUAUUUUUAUCAACAUAUACAGUCAAAUGUAUAUGGAAAAUAUACCAUGAGCAUACUGGAUAUGACCCGAAAGAUGGUGAACUAUGCCUGAUCAGGUUGAAGUCAGGGGAAACCCUGAUGGAGGACCGAAGCAAUUCUGACGUGCAAAUCGAUUGUCAGAAUUGGGCAUAGGGGCGAAAGACCAAUCGAACCAUCUA
rnacentral:rRNA from 1 species